UAGAUCCUUCUUAACGGAAGGGCGCAGUUCGGCUGGGCCUCGCACAGGUGCUGCAUGGCUGUCGUCAGCUCGUGUCGUGAGAUGUUGGGUUAAGUCCCGCAACGAGCGCAACCCUCAUCCUUAGUUACCAGCGGGUAAUGCCGGGCACUUUAAGGAAACUGCCAGUGAUAAACUGGAGGAAGGUGGGGAUGAUGUCAAGUCAGCACGGCCCUUAUGGGGUGGGCUACACACGUGCUACAAUGGCGACUACAAUAGGUUGCAACGUCGCAAGGCUGAGCUAAUCCGUAAAAGUCGUCUCAGUUCGGAUUGUCCUCUGUAACUCGAGGGCAUGAAGUCGGAAUCGCUAGUAAUCGUGGAUCAGCAUGCCACGGUGAAUACGUUCUCGGGUCUUGUACACACUGCCCGUCACGCCAUGGGAAUUGGCUUAACUCGAAGCUG
rnacentral:rRNA from 1 species